rnacentral:rRNA from 2 species
GGAUCCAGACUUUGAUCAUGGCUCAGGACGAACGCUGGCGGCGCGCCUAACACAUGCAAGUCGAACGAGCGAGAGAGAGCUUGCUUUCUCGAGCGAGUGGCGAACGGGUGAGUAACACGUGAGGAACCUGCCUCAAAGAGGGGGACAACAGUUGGAAACGACUGCUAAUACCGCAUAAGCCCACGGCUCGGCAUCGAGCAGGGGGAAAAGGAGAAAUCCGCUUUGAGAUGGCCUCGCGUCCGAUUAGCUAGUUGGUGAGGUAAUGGCCCACCAAGGCGACGAUCGGUAGCCGGACUGAGAGGUUGAACGGCCACAUUGGGACUGAGACACGGCCCAGACUCCUACGGGAGGCAGCAGUGGGGAAUAUUGCACAAUGGGGGAAACCCUGAUGCAGCGACGCCGCGUGGAGGAAGAAGGUCUUCGGAUUGUAAACUCCUGUUGUUGGGGAAGAUAAUGACGGUACCCAACAAGGAAGUGACGGCUAACUACGUGCCAGCAGCCGCGGUAAAACGUAGGUCACAAGCGUUGUCCGGAAUUACUGGGUGUAAAGGGAGCGCAGGCGGGAAGACAAGUUGGAAGUGAAAUCUAUGGGCUCAACCCAUAAACUGCUUUCAAAACUGUUUUUCUUGAGUAGUGCAGAGGUAGGCGGAAUUCCCGGUGUAGCGGUGGAAUGCGUAGAUAUCGGGAGGAACACCAGUGGCGAAGGCGGCCUACUGGGCACCAACUGACGCUGAGGCUCGAAAGUGUGGGUAGCAAACAGGAUUAGAUACCCUGGUAGUCCACACCGUAAACGAUGAUUACUAGGUGUUGGAGGAUUGACCCCUUCAGUGCCGCAGUUAACACAAUAAGUAAUCCACCUGGGGAGUACGACCGCAAGGUUGCAACUCAAAUGAAUUGACGG